rfam:Daphnia pulex DAPPTscaffold_288_Cont8316, whole genome shotgun sequence.
GAUAGUGUGGCUUAGUGGUCUAUGGAGCUGGUUUUAGGCACCAGUCUCUUCGGAGGCGAAGAUUAGAUUCCCUUCGCUGUCA